rfam:Schistosoma mattheei strain Denwood, Zambia genome assembly, scaffold: SMTD_scaffold0011792
GUUCAACCGAUGAGUCCCAAAUAGGACGAAACAUGAGUCCUGAAU